rnacentral:tRNA from 1 species
GCCCGCGUGGUGGAACGGUAGACACAGGGGACUUAAAAUCCCUAGCCUUCGGGUGUGCGAGUUCAAGUCUCGCCGCGGGCACCA